GAUGGACGCUGGCGGCGUGCCUAAUACAUGCAAGUCGAGCGAACGGACGAGAAGCUUGCUUCUCUGAUGUUAGCGGCGGACGGGUGAGUAACACGUGGAUAACCUACCUAUAAGACUGGGAUAACUUCGGGAAACCGGAGCUAAUACCGGAUAAUAUUUUGAACCGCAUGGUUCAAAAGUGAAAGACGGUCUUGCUGUCACUUAUAGAUGGAUCCGCGCUGCAUUAGCUAGUUGGUAAGGUAACGGCUUACCAAGGCAACGAUGCAUAGCCGACCUGAGAGGGUGAUCGGCCACACUGGAACUGAGACACGGUCCAGACUCCUACGGGAGGCAGCAGUAGGGAAUCUUCCGCAAUGGGCGAAAGCCUGACGGAGCAACGCCGCGUGAGUGAUGAAGGUCUUCGGAUCGUAAAACUCUGUUAUUAGGGAAGAACAUAUGUGUAAGUAACUGUGCACAUCUUGACGGUACCUAAUCAGAAAGCCACGGCUAACUACGUGCCAGCAGCCGCGGUAAUACGUAGGUGGCAAGCGUUAUCCGGAAUUAUUGGGCGUAAAGCGCGCGUAGGCGGUUUUUUAGUCUGAUGUGAAAGCCCACGGCUCAACCGUGGAGGGUCAUUGGAAACUGGAAAACUUGAGUGCAGAAGAGGAAAGUGGAAUUCCAUGUGUAGCGGUGAAAUGCGCAGAGAUAUGGAGGAACACCAGUGGCGAAGGCGACUUUCUGGUCUGUAACUGACGCUGAUGUGCGAAAGCGUGGGGAUCAAACAGGAUUAGAUACCCUGGUAGUCCACGCCGUAAACGAUGAGUGCUAAGUGUUAGGGGGUUUCCGCCCCUUAGUGCUGCAGCUAACGCAUUAAGCACUCCGCCUGGGGAGUACGACCGCAAGGUUGAAACUCAAAGGAAUUGACGGGGACCCGCACAAGCGGUGGAGCAUGUGGUUUAAUUCGAAGCAACGCGAAGAACCUUACCAAAUCUUGACAUCCUUUGACAACUCUAGAGAUAGAGCCUUCCCCUUCGGGGGACAAAGUGACAGGUGGUGCAUGGUUGUCGUCAGCUCGUGUCGUGAGAUGUUGGGUUAAGUCCCGCAACGAGCGCAACCCUUAAGCUUAGUUGCCAUCAUUAAGUUGGGCACUCUAAGUUGACUGCCGGUGACAAACCGGAGGAAGGUGGGGAUGACGUCAAAUCAUCAUGCCCCUUAUGAUUUGGGCUACACACGUGCUACAAUGGACAAUACAAAGGGCAGCGAAACCGCGAGGUCAAGCAAAUCCCAUAAAGUUGUUCUCAGUUCGGAUUGUAGUCUGCAACUCGACUACAUGAAGCUGGAAUCGCUAGUAAUCGUAGAUCAGCAUGCUACGGUGAAUACGUUCCCGGGUCU
rnacentral:rRNA from 1 species